rnacentral:sRNA from 1 species
ACUGUGGCCGUCCUCCCUGGGGCCAGGGCCUUCCUGCUGGAGGAGGGGAAGAGGAGGUUAUCUGCAAGAAGGGAAGUCAGCCAGCCCUGAAAAGCCCCAGAACUCCUGUGUCCCACCCAUGUCCCCACCCUGCAUGCUCAUCUCAGUUACUGUGAGGGUCCUGCAGGCUCUCACCUGUGCUCUUCUCCUCCUCCUCUAAAGACAUUCUGAAGAAGUUCAACCCUUACCUCCUUGGCUUCUCUACCAGCACUUGGGAGGGGACAGCAGGACUAAAUGUGGCAGCGGAAGGGGCCAGAGCUAGGGACAUGCCAGCCCAGGCCUGGGACCUGGUAGAGCGAAUGAAAAACAGCCCCGACAUCAACCUGGAGAAAGACUGGAAGCUGGUCACACUCUUCAUUGGGGUCAACGACUUGUGUCAUUACUGUGAGAAUCCGGAGGCCCACUUGGCCACGGAAUAUGUUCAGCACAUCCAACAGGCCCUGGACAUCCUCUCUGAGGAGCUCCCAAGGGCUUUCGUCAACGUGGUGGAGGUCAUGGAGCUGGCUAGCCUGUACCAGGGCCAAGGCGGGAAAUGUGCCAUGCUGGCAGCUCAGAACAACUGCACUUGCCUCAGACACUCGCAAAGCUCCCUGGAGAAGCAAGAACUGAAGAAAGUGAACUGGAACCUCCAG